GGGGAAUCUUGCGCAAUGGGCGAAAGCCUGACGCAGCGACGCCGCGUGAGUGAUGAAGGCCUUCGGGUUGUAAAGCUCUGUGGGGAGAGACGAAUAAGUGCAGACGAAUACUCUGCAUGAUGACGGUAUCUCCUUAGCAAGCACCGGCUAACUCUGUGCCAGCAGCCGCGGUAAGACAGAGGGUGCAAACGUUGUUCGGAAUUACUGGGCGUAAAGCGUGUGUAGGCGGUCGACUAAGUCGGGUGUGAAAGCCCAGGGCUCAACCCUGGAAGUGCACUCGAUACUGGUUGGCUAGAGUACUGGAGAGGUUGGUGGAAUUCUCGGUGUAGAGGUGAAAUUCGUAGAUAUCGAGAGGAACACCGGUGGCGAAGGCGGCCAACUGGACAGAUACUGACGCUGAGACACGAAAGCGUGGGGAGCAAAC
rnacentral:rRNA from 1 species